GGACAUUUAGUUUAGUGGUAUGAUUCUAGCUUUAGGUGUGAGAGGUCCCAAGUUCAAUCCUUGGAAUGCCCC
rnacentral:tRNA from 1 species